rnacentral:rRNA from 1 species
AGCCUGAUGCAGCCAUGCCGCGUGUGUGAAGAAGGCCUUCGGGUUGUAAAGUCAGUCGUGAGGAAGGUGGUGUGUUAAUAGCACUAUCAUUUGACGUUAGCGACAGAAGAAGCACCGGCUAACUCCGUGCCAGCAGCCGCGGUAAUACGGAGGGUGCGAGCGUUAAUCGGAAUUACUGGGCGUAAAGCGCAUGCAGGUGGUUUGUUAAGUCAGAUGUGAAAGCCCGGGGCUCAACCUCGGAAUAGCAUUUGAAACUGGCAGACUAGAGUACUGUAGAGGGGGGUAGAAUUUCAGGUGUAGCGGUGAAAUGCGUAGAGAUCUGAAGGAAUACCGGUGGCGAAGGCGGCCCCCUGGACAGAUACUGACACUCAGAUGCGAAAGCGUGGGGAGCAAACAGGAUUAGAUACCCUGGUAGUCCACGCCGUAAACGAUGUCUACUUGGAGGUUGUGGCCUUGAGCCGUGGCUUUCGGAGCUAACGCGUUAAGUAGACCGCCUG